UACGAAGGGUGCAAGCGUUAAUCGGAAUUACUGGGCGUAAAGCGCGCGUAGGUGGUUCAGCAAGUUGGAUGUGAAAUCCCCGGGCUCAACCUUGGAACUGCAUCCAAAACUACUGAGCUAGAGUACGGUAGAGGGUUGUGGAAUUUCCUGUGUAGCGGUGAAAUGCGUAGAUAUAGGAAGGAACACCAGUGGCGAAGGCGACCACCUGGACUGAUACUGACACUUAGGUGCGAAAGCGUGGGGAGCAAACAGGAUUAGAUACCCUGGUAGUCCACGCC
rnacentral:rRNA from 1 species